AAAAGAGCUUCACGAGCGACGGGCGUCUUUUUAAAGAUGGCUUCCCGCUCGUGCGUUUCUGGAUGUGGUCGUUUCCUGCCUCCAUCUGAUGGUCAUGAUCACUGCCUCUCGUGCUUGGGCUUACAGCAUGCUGAAGCAGCGCUCAUGGAGGAGUCAUGUUCUCAGUGCGGGAACAUGACCAUCGCGACGUUGCGGUCUAGAUACCUCCUCAUUAAACGGGGGGGUAUCCCCCUUGCCAUGCCCCGCUCUAGCUCCUCUGGUUCUCGGAGGGCUACUUCGGUUCAUGGUCAGGGAGACCUGAGGGUUACAGUGAGAGCUGCCCCGUCGAGUACGUCUCCGCGGGCCUCUCAUUCCUCAAGCAUGUCGCACCACCUGGUGCUUCCGGACGAGUGUGCUGGGUCCUCGGACAGGGCGGGGUCCAGCAUCUUGUGCGGGGCACAGGCAGAGGACAGGAUGUCGAUCGCUGCAUCGGAGGGCGAGCUAAGCUCUGGAGAUGAGGAUUCGGCUGCGCUGCCACCGUCAGGUAGAGUGGCGUUGCCCGAGUCAGAUCCAGAGCUGACCGCUAUGCUUUCCCGGGCCGCUGAGAGCGUCGGGCUGCACUGGAGGCCUCCGCCUUCUCCCGAACGCUCGAGGCUGGAUGAUUGGUUCCUGGGGGCGCAGGCCGGGCGUCGGCAGCCACCUCCGGUUCCAUUCUUCCCGGAAGUGCAUGAGGAGGUUACAAAGUCUUGGAAGGCACCUUUUUCUGCCCGAAACAGACUUGGUGCCCCCUCCGUCCUCACCACCCUCGACGGGGGGGCGGCCCAAGGGUAUGUGGACAUCCCUCCGGUCGAGCGCGCGAUUGCCAUGCAGCUCUGCCCGCAAAGCGCCGCCGCCUGGAGAGGUAGUCCACGCCUUCCGUCCAGGGCCUGUAAGUUCUCAUCCGCUCUGACGGCUAAGGCUUACAGUGCCGCUGGACAGGCCGCUUCCGCCCUGCACGCCAUGGCCCUCCUGCAAGUCCACCAGGCCAAGGCGUUGAAGCAGUUGCACGAGGGUGGUGCUGACUCAGGUGUGCUGCAGGAACUGCGCAUGGCGACGGAC
ensembl:lncRNA